UGGGGAAUUUUGGACAAUGGACGCAAGUCUGAUCCAGCCAUGCCGCGUGCGGGAAGAAGGCCUUCGGGUUGUAAACCGCUUUUGUCAGGGAAGAAACGAGUUUCUCUAAUACAGAGACUUAAUGACGGUACCUGAAGAAUAAGCACCGGCUAACUACGUGCCAGCAGCCGCGGUAAUACGUAGGGUGCGAGCGUUAAUCGGAAUUACUGGGCGUAAAGCGUGCGCAGGCGGUUAUAUAAGACAGAUGUGAAAUCCCCGGGCUCAACCUGGGAACUGCAUUUGUGACUGCAUAGCUAGAGUACGGUAGAGGGGGAUGGAAUUCCGCGUGUAGCAGUGAAAUGCGUAGAUAUGCGGAGGAACACCGAUGGCGAAGGCAAUCCCCUGGACCUGUACUGACGCUCAUGCACGAAAGCGUGGGGAGCAAACA
rnacentral:rRNA from 1 species